rnacentral:rRNA from 1 species
CCUACGGGAGGCUGCAGUGAGGAAUAUUGGUCAAUGGACGAGAGUCUGAACCAGCCAAGUAGCGUGAAGGAUGACUGCCCUAUGGGUUGUAAACUUCUUUUAUAAAGGAAUAAAACGAGGCACGUGUGCCUUUUUGCAUGUACUUUAUGAAUAAGGAUCGGCUAACUCCGUGCCAGCAGCCGCGGUAAUACGGAGGAUCCGAGCGUUAUCCGGAUUUAUUGGGUUUAAAGGGAGCGUAGGUGGAUUGUUAAGUCAGUUGUGAAAGUUUGCGGCUCAACCGUAAAAUUGCAGUUGAAACUGGCAGUCUUGAGUACAGUAGAGGUGGGCGGAAUGCGUGGUGUAGCGGUGAAAUGCUUAGAUAUCACGAAGAACUCCGAUUGAGAAGGCAGCAUACCGGCGCUCAACUGACGCUCAUGCACGAAAGUGUGGGUAUCGAACAGGAUUAGAUACCCUAGUAGUC